rnacentral:lncRNA from 1 species
GAAACUUCGGUGAACUUGUGAUAGGCUGGGCUCUGUGGUUCGCAUUUUGUUUUCACAGGCUUGUAGAAUUCUGGCAGUUUUUCUGGGGUGUGUGUGUGUGUAUGUGUGUGUGUGUGUAUGCAUGUGCAUGCACUCUUUCUCUGCAUGGUGGGAAAGAGACUUUUUUUCUUUUCCUCUCUCUCUCUUUUCUCUUUAGCUUCCACACUGAGGUAUGAAUGAAACCCUCUUCUCCUGUCCUGGGGUACGGUCUCUCCAGAGCAAUGGGGCAGGACAUCAGCAGGUGAAAAGUCUGUUUAUCCAAAUGAAAGGCAAAAAAUCUGUGUCAAAGCCUAGUGUUGUCAUCAUUAAGUUGUGUAUCCUUUACAAGGUCUGAAUCUCAAUCUCUCCCAUGUUCCACUAUAGCUACUAGUUCCCAAGUCCUCCUAUGCACCAGUAAUCCCUACCUUGCAAUUGAACUACCCCCAUGCCCUGCUCCUGGGCUGCUCUCCACACCAGAGCUGCUAAGUGCUGGGGACAAGAUGCUAAACGAAUCACUGUGUGUGUCCUGCAGGUCUAGCAGGGCACAGAAAUCUCCGAGCAAGAGCGUCAAUAGAAAGAGCCGAAUGUGGCAGGAGGUGGUCAGUUCCCAUCGGGCAUUCAUUCACUCAGCACAGCUGGAGCCCCAGGCGCCUUGCUGGACACAGGUGUCCUCCUUCUUGCCAUCUUCUUUCACCCAUAAGGAGCGUUUCUCCCCACAUCAAGUCCUCAGCUCUGAACAACACAGAAUCAGAAUGACGUCACAUCCCUGGGCAAGAAAUGAGUCCAAGGAUGGUUUUGAAGGCUUCUUCAAGAGGAGGAGACCCUGCCUGUCGGGUGGACCAGCCUCCAGGGACCCGGGCAAAGCUGUCAGCAGUUUAGCUUAAAUGAACAUCCAAAGGCCAA